rnacentral:misc_RNA from 1 species
UGUGGGAGCUGGCUUGCCUGCGAUGCAGACGCCUCGGUUUUUCAGUUCGACCGAGGUGACGCUAUCGCAGGCAAGCCAGCUCCCACA